rnacentral:piRNA from 1 species
UGGGUGCCAAGGACCCUCGAUUGGGUUUGG